UCUCUAUUCUCUGAGAACUCUAACCUUAGGAUAUGUUCUUUUGUCUUUUUUAUUUAUAUAUUUUGAUUUUUUUUAUUUGAUUUCUCUUCAUCUUCUUUUGUGUUUUUUAUUUAUUGCAGGAUUUGAUGUUUAAUCACAGAGGUAUGUCUCGAGUAUAUGGAUUCUGAUUCAGAAAUGCCUGUGAUGGUACCAAAUUAUUUGCUGGUGUAAAGGAGCAUCAUUGUAUGAGUACAUUAGUCAGUACUACAAUUACGCUUGCAAACUUUCUUCGGGAUAGUGAUAUGACUUUAAUCCGAUCACAGGUUAUGGACUUUAGGACAUAUGGGUGUGCAUGAACGUACCAUUUGUUGGUGAAAUUGUUGAAAUCUUGGCGCCAUGGAUGAAUUCAGGUCUUGCAAACAACUGUAAAAAAGUUCUUGGCGUAUUCUACAGACUAAACUUCUGAGAAUACUUACUGGGACAAGUUCCUUGAAGGUGCUAGGCUAGCAAAUUUAAAGAGAUGGAAAAGGUCACAAGGCUUUCUAUGAGCAGUGUGUUUACGGGUUGCAAAUUUACUUCCCCCUUGAUUGUGAUAGUCUGAUUUGGGGUGAUGCUUAAUUUGCCAGAGGAAGAGAUGACAUGCACUUUCAGAAAAAUGGGCAUAUACUCUGUGUUGGAUCUAAUAAACUAAUGCAACUACUUCCCCUGAAUGUUCUUAGUUUUGAUUGUGAUAGGCAUAUACUCAAAACUAAAGAUGGGCAUAUACUCUUACUUGAUUGUGAUAGGCUUAGGUGAAUGUUCGUAGUUUUGGGUAUAUGUUGAUUUAAGCUUGAAGUGACCUUUCGUGGGGUUACUAUCAGUUGCCGGCCACAAGAAAACGGUGAGCAAUUUACCACGAUAAUCCUUGCUGAGAUAUGAUUCAUAGAUACUUGAAUAUGGGUAGAUUAAUAGACUGCUGAUCCAAUUCUAGAAGGUCUAACUCUGCCACUUUCACAAAAUCCGCACUUUAAGGAGGGAUCUUCUUUGAUGUCCUUGAAAGUGGAUCAGGGGUAGUCGCAGCAACACCCACCUCAGGUGGCGAACACAACCUAUCCGCUGGGCAGAAUUUGGUCGAAACAAACGGGACUCACCUAGGAAUUGGGGCACACUACCACUGAAUCUGUGUACACAACCUAAUGGCAAAUGUAUAUAAUUAGUCAAUCUUCCCAUUCAAUUAGUCAGAAUAAUACAUUUUAUAUUGUUUUUUUUUUACUGAUUCGGUGGCUAUUCUAAUAUGCGAUGUGUUUUAUGUUGUAUGAAUGUAAUUUCCAGUUUUCAUUGAAUGAGUUGAAAUACUGUUUAUACUGUUUGGAGUAAACCAAUGGCGUUCUGGAAAAGAGUGUGGUGCAAAACAAAAAUGAGUGUGGUUGCAGAUGAGACGAGACACCAGAAUUAGGACUGAACCAGUGGAGUUGUGACUUCCAAUAUAGAAUGACAGAAACACGACUCUUGGCUAACGACUCCUUUGUGGAUACCGCAGGAAGCUUCAAAUACCUUUGUUGAUUGCAACGUACUUAAGUUUCCUAAGGUUGAGUGUCAAUUUAAGUUGUUUGAAAAAUCCGGAAAUGCAUAAAUGAACUUUGAUACU